rnacentral:rRNA from 1 species
GACGGAGGAUGCAAGCGUUAUCCGGAAUGACUGGGCGUAAAGCGUCCGCAGGUGGCCGUUCAAGUCUGCUGUCAAAGACCGGGGCUUAACUUCGGAAAGGCAGUGGAAACUGAGCAGCUAGAGUAUGGUAGGGGCAGAGGGAAUUCCUGGUGUAGCGGUGAAAUGCGUAGAGAUCAGGAAGAACAUCGGUGGCGAAGGCGCUCUGCUGGACCAUAACUGACACUCAGGGACGAAAGCUAGGGGAGCGAAUGGG